UCGCUUCGUGCUUCACUAGUGUGCUGUUCUUGAUGUUUCUAACGCAUUGAAUAUUUGCUUAAGGACAAUCGAUCGUGAUACCGAGAACAAAACAGCGUGCUUCAAGCUGGAUCUCCCAGUAGAUGACAAAGCUUGUUAUAUCAACGAACCUACCGGUUGAUUGCGAUUUACAGGUUUCUGCAGUCAGUGCGGGGAAUCCGAGCUGGAUCACAUUGAGAACACCUGGCUUGUCUUCGGACAGCUAGAUCAUGUACUCGAAUAGUGUCCUGUUCAAGAUAUUAAUAGGGACCGAUGGAGCUGUCAGUAUUCACAGACGAGGGGUGAAAUCCUUAGACUCUGUGAAGACUAACAACAGCGAAGGCAUUCAGCUAAGAGGCCUUCAUUAAUCAAGAACGAGAGUGCAGGGAUCGAAGAUGAUCAGAUACCGUCGUAGUCUGCUACUGUAAACUAUGCAAACUAGGGAUCAGUUGAUGGUGCAACACAUAUCUGUUGACUCGGUUGGUACCUCUCCUUCUUCUUAACGCGAAAGCUUAAGUCUUCGUGUUCAGGGGGGAGUACAGUUGCAAGGCUGAAACUUAAAGGAAUUGACGGAAUGACACCACAAGGCGUGGAUGCUGCGGCUUAAUUUGACUCAACACAGAGAAUGUUACCAGAUCAUGAGGUUUGGAGGAUUGACAGAUUGAUAGCUCUUUCUUGAUUAAGUUAAUGGUGGUGCAUGGCCGCUCCUGGUUGGUGGAGUGAUUUGUCUGGUUGAUUCCGUUAACGAACGAGAUCCCAACCCUUCGAUGACGGUUAUAUCGUAUGUAAUCAUUCGGUGCUUAACCCAUCUGGGUUCAUUGGUUGAUGAGAUGUAAGAUGCACGCAAGGGGACUAUGUGUGUUAACAACACAUUGAAGUGUGGGCCAAUAGCAGGUCUGUGAUGCUCCUAGAUGUUCUGGGCUGCACGCGGCAUACAAUGGUUAAGUCAAUAGGAUUGGUUCGAUCGAGCUCCUGUUGCGAAAGCAUUGGGAACUCCCAUCAGAUUUAACUGUGGCUGGGAUAGAUAUUUGCAACUGUUUGUCUUGAACUAGGAAUGCCUUGUAAACACAUCUCAUCAGAGUGUAUUGAAUGCGUCCCUGCCGUUUGUACACACCGCCCGUCGUUGCAAUCGAUUGGUUCAAUACUAGAGAUCUUCUGGAGAGACACUGUAAUGAUUCGUCGGAAUGGCUGGGUCAAAGUUGCUCGAUAGUAUCGAACUAGAGAAUGCAAAAGUCGUAACAAGGUAGCCG
rnacentral:rRNA from 1 species